AUGAUCAAAAAAAUUAAAAAUUAACUAUCUUUUUACCAUACCAGUGUCAUCAAAUGAGUUUUCUGAUGUAUUAUAAUCCUUUAUUCUUUGAUUUUUGGAGUAAUUUCAUCACUAGAGUUUGGUUUUCUGGUCACAAAAGCUAUCAAGCCAUUUUCAGAAGCUGCUGAAGCUAUAGAUUUGGUGAAGACUAAGCAAAGAGAUAUAUACAUUGUAAGUGCGUGUACUAAGAAGGUUUAAAAGAAGUAAUUAACAAACUAAUUAGUAAUUUUGUUGACAUUUAUGAUAUAUUUUGCAGGGAGAUAGUGUUGAAAUUAUAAUCCUACAUGCUAAUGGUGUUCGAUGUGAAAGUGAGCAACUGCACAAAGAUUAGUUACAAAACAGAAGAUUGUCCCAGUUUGCCUGUGGUCCACAUAACCAUACAAUAAGAGGACUUGUAGCUUGCUUGAAGUAGGCUCAGUCUCCAAAGUUCAAUGCUAAUUAGAACCAGGUUGUUUGUAAUUGUCGAGUUCUUGCUAAACGAUUGAUGGAGCUAGAAUACACAUUGGCCUUCUUACAACUGAUAGAUUGGAGAACAGACUUGAA